AGGGGGCCGGGGAAAGAAACUGCCGUUGCACUUCAGCCCCGGCGUCCGAGCGGGCUUCUCAAAGCGGGCAACCGUUACUCACCGGGCAAGAUCUGGGCUUUCUGGAUUGAAAUUGGAUUUCACUUCACCUUGACAAUGAACUCUGUUUAAAAGGGUCCUUCAAAAAGAUUCUCAAUGAUUAGAGGGAACGCAACUCCUAUCAAAGAGAAGAUACUACCCUCCAGUUGGUACCUUUGCAGCAGCUUCUCAGCAAUGAAGAUUUAUCAUCUCUUAACUGGCUGUGUGCACUAUGCAAAUGCUUCUUUGUAAUAACAAAAGUUUUAUUGAAAAUAUUUGGAUUUUUUUCCAUGUGACUGUCUCAUGAUUUCAUGAAAAAAAUUUAUAUUUUUGUUCCCCAACAUCUUCAUUCCUAGAGAAACUUUAUAGGAUUAGGCAAAGGCUUUGAAAGUGAAAAGGAUCUGAGAAAAUACCCAGUGCAAUUAUCUCAUUUUAUAGAUGAGGAAUUGAGGCCCAGAAGUGAAGUAAAUAUAUACUUUCCUGACUCUGAGUUGUAGAUAAAAAUGGAAAUUCCUAUUAAUUUGUUUCCAUGAAUUCUUCAAGCUUCUACGACUUAAUUGUUGUGUAUACUUCUUGCACUCAGUAGAUUGCAUUACUGACAAGUUUUAGAGAAUUGACUUGAAGUCCAGUUAAGUGGAUUGCUUAUUGUCCCACAAGUAGAAACUGUUAGAGGUGAGAUUCCUGACCCCAGAUUCAGCAUUUUAUCUGCUAAAAGCAACAUUCUGCUUCUCUUUGUGAAUAUAAUAGUAUUUUGCAAACUAAUAAAUCAGUUUUCCACAGGUGGAUAUGGUAAUUCACAAAAGAACCAAUAGUAUUAGCAUAUUGGGAAAGACACCUGUCCACAUGGCAGAAGUUAAUAUAAGAGACAAAACCAACUCUUCAAAAUGAAACUAUCUUGUCCAAAUUGGAUAUCUAGUUAUCUUAGAUUGUAAGCUCCUUGAGGGCAAGGGAGAUCUUAUGCCUUUCUUUGUAUCCACAGUGCUUAACACAGUGCCUGGAACAUAAUAGGAACUUAAUAAAAUAAAUGUUUUUUGAUUGGUUGACUUUA